rnacentral:rRNA from 1 species
AGUCUACAUAGUUUUAGUGUGAAACUGCGAAUGGCUCAUUAUAUCAGUUAUAGUUUAUUUGGAAUAGUUUCUAUAUGGAUAACCGUAGUAAUUCUAGGGCUAAUACAUGUGUUUUCUUUGAUGGGCAACCAUUAAAGAAGUACUUAUUAGGCAUAAAACCAAAAUUGAAUUGUGAGUAAUAAUAAUUGUUGACUUUAUCGCAUGCUUGUUAGUAGCGAUGUUCCUUUCAAGUUUCUGCCCUAUCAUCUUUCGAUGGUAGUGUAUUGGACUACCAUGGCAGUAACGGGUAACGAAGAAUUUGGGUUCGAUUUCGGAGAGGGAGCCUGAGAGAUGGCUACCACAUCCAAGGAAGGCAGCAGGCGCGUAAAUUACCCCCUCCUGACACAGGGAGGUAGUGACAAUAAAUCUCACUACGAAGCCUUUGGUUUUGUAAUUGAAUUGAGAACAAUGUACAAUCGUUAUCGAUAAACAAUUGGAG